rnacentral:rRNA from 1 species
GUGGCCUCGCGACGGCGGAGGGUUAGUAACGCGUGGGAACGUGCCCAGAGGUGCGGAACAACAGUUGGAAACGACUGCUAAUACCGCAUAAGCCCUACGGGGGAAAGAUUUAUCACCUUUGGAUCGGCCCGCGUUGGAUUAGCUUGUUGGUGGGGUAAAGGCCCACCAAGGCGACGAUCCAUAGCUGGUUUGAGAGGAUGAUCAGCAACACUGGGACUGAGACACGGCCCAGACUCCUACGGGAGGCAGCAGUGGGGAAUCAUAGACAAUGGGCGCAAGCCUGAUCUUGCCAUGCCGCGUGAGCGAAGAAGGCCUUAGGGUUGUAAAGCUCUUUCACCGGUGAAGAUAAUGACGGUAGCCGGAGAAGAAGCCCCGGCUAACUCCGUGCCAGCAGCCGCGGUAAUACGGAGGUGGCUAGCGUUGUUCGGAAUUACUGGGCGUAAAGCGCGCGUAGGCGGGCUGUUAAGUCGGGGGUGAAAUCCCGGGGCUCAACCCCGGAACUGCCCUCGAUACUGGCAGCCUAGAGGUCGAGAGAGGUGAGUGGAAUACCGAGUGUAGAGGCGAAAUUCGUAGAUAUUCGGUGGAACACCAGUGGCGAAGGCGGCUCACUGGCUCGAUUCUGACGCUGAGGUGCGAAAGCGUGGGGAGCA